rnacentral:tRNA from 2 species
GGUUCUAUGGUGUAAUGGUUAGCACAUGAGGUUCUGAGAUCCAUCUGGUUCUCCAGUUCUCAUUCCUCAUGAUCCCGGUUCGAUUCCGGGUAGGACCU